UACGUAGGGGGCAAGCGUUGUCCGGAAUCAUUGGGCGUAAAGCGCGUGUAGGCGGCUCGAUAAGUCUGCUGUGAAAGUCCAGGGCUCAACCCUGGGAUGCCGGUGGAUACUGUCAAGCUCGAGUCCGGAAGAGGCGAGUGGAAUUCCUGGUGUAGCGGUGAAAUGCGCAGAUAUCAGGAGGAACACCGAUGGCGAAGGCAGCUCGCUGGGACGGUACUGACGCUGAGACGCGAAAGCGUGGGGAGCGAACAGG
rnacentral:rRNA from 1 species